rnacentral:lncRNA from 1 species
GCGUGUGCAUAUUUGUGUAUAUAUACAUUGAUAAUUGUAUAUAACUGAAAGCAAGCAAUUGUAUAUAUACUCGCAUAAACAUAUCAAUAUAAACAUAUCGUAUAAAUGCACAUACAGUCCAUACACAAUACGUAAACAUGUGUAGUAUAUAUAUUUGUGAGUGUGUAUGAGUGAGUGUGAGUGUGAGUGUGAGUGUAUAUGUGUGUGAGUGUGUAUGAGUGUGAGUAGUGAGUGUGUAAGUGUGAGUGAGUGUGUGUGUAGUAAAUAAAUUAAUGUACAUAUACGUUAAUAACUGUAUGAACUGAUACAUCAAUAUAUAUAGAAAUAUAUAUUUUAGCGCAUUGUAUAGAUACAGUUAUGCACUUUACACAUACACACAUAUCAGUAUACACACAUCGAAUAUAUACAAACAUUACACACACACAUCAAUGUAUUUUUUACACAUAAAUAACUGUAUAUACACCGAAAUUAAUGAUAUAUAUUGCUAUACAUCUAUACGUACACAAAUUGUUCUAAUAAUUGUAUAUAUCACUGAUAAUAAUAAUACAUGGUCUUAUACAUUAGUGUAUAUAUAAACCCUUUAUACACGUACAUAUGAGUGUGCAUAUAUACAUAUAUAUCAAUGUACUUAUAUCAGUUUAUAUAAAAACUGCAAGCAAAAGUAUACAUACAUGCCUAAACAUAUCAAUAUAUACAUAUCAUAUAUAUGCACACAUCAAUCCAUACACAAUACGCAUAUAUGUGUAGUAUAUAUAUCUGCGAGUGUGAGUGUGAGUGCGACUGUGAGUGCGAGUGCGAGUGCGAGUGCGAGUGUGAGUGUGAGUGUGUGUGUGUGAGUGAGUGAGUGAGUGAGAGUGAGAGUGUGUGUGUGUGUCAAUGUGAGUUUGAGUCUAAGUGUGUGUGUAGUAUAUAAAUCAGUGUACAUAUACGUUAUUAACUGUAUAAAAUGAUAGUAAGUGUAUAUAUAACCAUAUACAUAAAUGUCCAUAAAAAUGUAUAUAUUAGUGCACUGUAUAUAAACAAUUAUGCACUUUAUACAUACAUAUCAGUAUAUACACAUCGUAUAUAAACAGACAUCACGCACACAUCAAUGUAUUUUUUACACACUAAUAACCCUCUAUAUAUAACAGAUAACUAAUGUCUUGUAUGUGUACACUGAUACAUGCAUUCUAUCUAUAUUAAUAUAUAUGACCAUAGAGACAUUUAUUAACAGUUUAUAUAGAUAUAUACAGCAUGUAUAUAUAAGAUACAUAUAUACUGAUAUGUUUAUGUGUAUAUGUAUAAACUUACUAUCAGUUACAUAUACACUGAUAUGCACACACAUGCACCCUUACGUAUUGGUAGUGCAUACAUACAUUUCUAUAUAAACUGAUUGAUAAAUACGACCAUAUAGACACUUUUUAUCCGCUAUAUAUACAGUUAUUAGUGUUUAAAAAAUACAUUCAUGUGUGUGUGUGCAAAGUGCAUAACUG